CCGGGUGCGUUACGCGUGGGAAUCUGCCCUUGGGUGCGGAAUAACGCUGUUGAAUUACUGCUAAUACCGGAUGAUGUCAAAAGACCCACAAUUUCUCCCCCGACGAUGAGCCCGCGUACACUUACCUAGUUGGUGAGGUAAGAGCUCACCAAGGCGACGAUCAUUACCUGGGCUGAGAGGAUGAUCGCCCUGACUGCUACUGACACACCGGCCACACGCCUACGGGAGGCAGAAAUGGGGAAUAUUGAACUAUGGGGCAGGCCCUGAUCCAUCAAUGCCGCGUGAGUGAUGAAGGCCUUAGGGUUGUAAAGCUCUUUUACCCGGGAUGAUAAUGACAGUACCGGGAGAAUAAGCCCCGGCUAACUCCGUGCCAGCAGCCGCGGUAAUACGGAGGGGGCUAGCGUUAUUCGGAAUUACUGGGCGUAAAGCGCACGUAGGCGGCUUUGUAAGUCAGAGGUGAAAGCCUGGAGCUCAACUCCAGAACUGCCUUUGAGACUGCAUCGCUUGAAUCCAGGAGAGGUGAGUGGAAUUCCGAGUGUAGAGGUGAAAUUCGUAGA
rnacentral:rRNA from 1 species